GGCAGCGCCGGGGAGGGCGGGGGGGGAGGGGGGGGAGGGGGGAGAGCGGCCUGCUCCUCCCCCCUCCCCUCCCGCCUCUGCCCCUGCCCCGGGGCGGCGGGUGGCGCUGGCCGCGGCGGGUCGGGGCUCAGUGUCCUUGUGCGGAAAUGACACACGGUCCCGUCACGUCACGCGAGAGCGCAGCGCGCGGACCCUCGCACACAAAGAGCGGGGGGGAAACGCGGGCACCAGCGGCGGCCGCUCCAGCCGCCCCCGCCGUCCCGGGGCUGCCGUGCCCCCGCGCGGACCCGAGGCCUUAAUUUCCUAUGGAGGUGAUGAUACAGUUGCUGUGUUGACAUCUCUGUGUCCACUCACUACUCACUUGUGAGUCCAUUGCUACCCAAAUUUGAAGCGAGAUGGUGGUGUAAAUAGGUGUGGGAUAGAAGAUGAAUUCAGCUGAAAUCACUGAUGAUGAUGAAGUAAAAAUUCCUAAAAAUAAUGUUGUGAAAGUAGAAACAGAAAAUGAAGAUGAAGCUCUAGACUGCUCGGUAACGUCCAGGUCUGCUGAGAAACACUCACUGGAUGGCGCAGUUACUUGCCUGCAGGAUUCCAGCAAACGGAAACAGACCUCACUUGGUUGUGAUGGUUCAGGGAGCCAGCAAGAUGUCUUACCCAGUGUGAAGAAAAGACGCUUUACACAAGAGGGCUCCCUUUCAAACAUGAAGAACAGAGAUGCUGGCUCACCCACUCAGGUAAAUGCAGAGCAGCCAAACAAGAACAAGAAUCCUAACGUGACAUGGCUCUGUGAAGAAGAAUCCUUCAGUGACGUAACAACUCCAUCUUAUAAAAAACCUCUCUAUGGCAUCUCACACAAAAUCACGGAGAAGAAGAACCCACCAGGAGCAGAGCAGUUUGCUUCUUAUGAGUUGUUUGAAAAAAUCAACCCCAGCAGUCCCUCACAUCUUCGGACUUUGAAUGACCAACGGAAAAGGGACUCUGCUACAGCCAUAGCCGUAACAGCAGCCACCACAGAUGCUGACCCAAAUAUAUAUUCUUUGAUACAGAAAAUGUUUUACACGCUUAACACCCUCAAUACCAAUAUGACUCAGCUUCACAGUAAAGUUGACCUGUUGUCUUUGGAGGUUAGCAGAAUUAAAAAGCAAGUCAGUCCAGUAGAGUCCGUUGCAGACUUCAAGCCUCCCCCGGAGUAUCAGCUGACUUCUGCAGAGCUCAAACAGAUCAUGGAUCAAAGCACAUCAGGCGGAGACCUAGCUUGCCGGUUGCUAGUGCAGCUCUUCCCAGAGCUCUUCAGCGAUGACGAGUUCAGCAGAAGCUGCAGUGCAUGUGGCUUUCUCAACAAAAGGAAACUUGAAUCUCUUCAUCUACAGCUUAUCCGUAACUAUGUGGAAGUUUGUUAUCCUUCUGUGAAGAAUACAGCUGUGUGGCAGGUGGAGUGUUUGCCUCAAGUCAACGAUUUUUUCAAUAGAUUUUGGGCUCAAAGGGAAAUGGAAAACAGUCAGCAGAGUGUGCAGUCGUCUGGUUUUUAUGAGACUGAGCAGGUCGAAUCCUCUCAUUUUAUGGAGGAUAAAGAGCAGGAGGAAGCUUUGUCCUUGGACAGGAGUAAUGCUAUUGCCUCAGAUUACAUGCUGGAUGCUCAGGAUCUCAAUGAAUUUUUAGAUGAAGCUUCUUCUCCGGGGGAAUUCUCUGUUUUUUUGUUACACAGAUUGUUUCCAGAACUCUUCGACCACAGAAAAUUAGCUGAAAGGUACAGCUGCUUUGGAGACUCUGGAAAACAACUGCUGGAUCCUCAUCGGCUUCAAAUAAUCCGUAGGUACACUGAAAUUUACUUUCCAGAUGUGCAAGAAGAAGCAGCCUGGUUGCAGCAAUGUGUUCAACGAAUAAAUGAUGAGCUUGAAAAUACUUAUAUGGAUGGGAGUGAAUGUGAUCAGAUGAGAGAUGACUGUUACGAUUCUUCUAGUUUACCAGAUGAUGUAUCAAUAAUAAAAGUAGAAGACAGUUUUGAAUAUGAAAAGCCUGGCAGGCGCUCAAAAAAAAUUUGGCUUGUACCCAUAGACUUUGACAAACUUGACUUUCCCCCUCCUGAUUUCGAUGUCCCUGUGCCGGAUUACCUGUUGAACAAAGAACAGAUUAAAAGCAUAUAUGAAAGCAGUCUUUCCAUAGGCAACUUUGCCUCUCGAUUGCUUGUUCUUUUAUUUCCUGAAUUGUUUACUCAUGAAAACUUACGGAAGCAAUAUAACUGUAGUGGAUCUUUAGGCAAGAAACAGCUCGACCCCACUAGAAUUAAAUUAAUUCGACAUUAUGUGCAGAUACUGUACCCCAGAGCAAAGAAUGACAGAGUGUGGACAUUGGAGUUUGUUGGGAAGCUUGACGAGAGGUGUCGACGAAGAGACACGGAGCAAAGGCGCACAUACCAACAGCAACGGAAAAUCCACAUACCAGGGCCCGACAGGAGGGAAUUUCUCAGCUAUGCAAUAAAUGCCGAGAGGUUUCGAGAAGAAUUCGAAGGGCCACCACUGCCACCAGAAAGAAGCAGCAAGGAUUUUUGCAAGAUACCACUCGAUGAACUCGUUGUUCCUAAUCCAGACUUCCCUGUGCCUUCUCUGUAUUUGCUGUCUGAUAAGGAGACCUUUUUAGUUUAAAAGAACAAACUUGUCAUUUUGAAAGUGAGGCUAUGAUAGGAAGAUUGCUAUGUAUUGAAGCGUUUGGAACCUGCAUAGCCAUGCGCACACUGACUUCCUAUGGAUGAACAUUACCUUCUACCUACCAGCUCAUACAAAUCCUGUUCUGAGAAGCCAGCUCUCCUGCAGCAGUCCUGGCUGAAGGAGCUGCCCUGGGCUGGCCAGUCUCAGCACUGGAAGCAGAUGGCUCCUAACAAAAUCAGAACUCUAUCAUACUCAUUUUCCUUAAACUUCAUCUGACUGGCAGGAGAUUAGCCCCUUACACUGUAUUAUUUUUAUCCAGCCUGUUCGUUUUUGUAAUUUUCUAGAUGCUGUCCUUUCUAGUUAGUGGCCAUAAAAGCCCGAGACAUGGGCAGACCAUCUGCUUACUCCAUUUCCUGAUCUGUUCCAUGAUGGGCGCUGUGGUCCCCACUGAACAUUUUUCUUUCAUUAACAAUUCAGAAAGAAGAACUUUGAUUCUUGCAGGAAGUGAAGAGCUGUAAUAGCCAAAAAGUGGGCAAAAUCACCACGUGUCCAGUCACACUAAACUUCGUGUUAAUAGAUGGAAACAAAUUGUGAUUAGUGAAGACUGGAGGAAAACGGCUAAUUAGUAUCUCCCCACCCCCAAUGUCAAGUAAUCAUUCCCAGUUUCUUUCACAAAUUUCAUUAUGGCAAAACAGUUGUUUGUGAUUGUUUCCAGAGGCAUUUUGUAGUCUUGUGUGUUAGUGCUCACUUCUCUGGGAGGCAAAAUAUUCCUUUAAUGUUAACACUUUGAGGACUGUACCACUUUGGUUAGCUGGUAAGGUCAUGUGUUAGCAAGGUCUACAAACGUUUCCUGAAAAAGAAAAAUCCAGAGGUACCUGUCAGCAGCAGGAACGAAUCACUCAAUAGGAUCACAUCCUACAUGUGUGAUUUGAUCCCUCGUAUAAAACCUGGAGUUUGGGUUUAUGUCAUGUAAUGCUCUCCCUUGUCUCUUGCUCUCUAUCUCUCUUGUUCCAAGAAUUAAAAAAAAACCCAGGGUCUCCUUGAAGUGCUUGUCUAUAUAUACGUUGAAUGCUGAAGUACUGGAAACAAGAAUUUUGGCUUCAGCAUUACUCAGAUUUGCAGGGCUCCCACGCAUCCCCCUUUUGCAUUCCUUUCCCCACAUGCUAUCAUAGAAUGGCCACUGCAGCUGGCCUGCACAGGCGGUUGGGUGCUGUAAUUUGGUAAGCGCCGAAGGUAGGCUGUCCUGUUCUGAUGUGCCAUUACAGAAAAAAAAACCAACAACAAAUAAAACCCAGAAACACUUUGAUGCUUUUCUGUUCUAAGGAAACAAGAACUACCUAUUAUUUUGGGGGCCAAAGGAGUCAGAGUGUAAUCCCCCUCCACGCUGAUCUGUAGGCAGCAGAACUCAGAACCCGUUCAGGAGUGUCAGUAUGUGCCUGCUUUAGUUGCCCAGGCUGACUCUUCUGCUAGACCUGAGUCCAGCUCCUGUGUAAGCGAUUCCCCAAUAUUCCUUCACAGGAUUCUCCCGCACCCUGCUCCGUAAUGCAGGCUGGCCCAUGUGCAGCAGGUGCUGCAGCAUGUAACGUUGCUCCUGCAGCAGGUGGAACAUGCAAAGCUGUCAGAUAACGCUGGGUGCUGUGCAGUGACAGCUGGGUCCUGUACCCACAACCUGACGGUGCCUGCCUCUUACAGGACCAGGCAAAUUCUAGAUCAGGUUAUCCCUCUGUGCAAGGGCAGGGAUGGUGGCCAUUCUGGGCUCCACGCCUGGCAGCCAGCAUAAGGUUGGAUUCGUCCGUGGUUAAUGCAGAUGUAGCUGGGACAGCACAGUCAUCUCGGCAGCCUCCAGUGAACUUAGUCACGUGUCAAGCCGUCCAAACUAUCCUUUAUGACCUCUCGGCAGUAUCUUUGCGAGGAAGCCCUUUCAUGUAGUUCCUCCACCAUGCAGAUGCCUGUAUCCUGGAGCAGGAAAUUCAUUACAGCAGUGAGAGAAGGGCAGAAGCGAUGAUCAUUUACCCAUUCACUGUCCGUACCCAGAACUCUUGAGCAGAAGGAAAAGCAUGUAUAUGUCUCCCACCACUCAGCAGUCAGUGGCAGUAGCAAUUUUGUACUUGAUUAGUGGCAGUCUCCGUUUUAGGAAGAUCAUUAAAACUUCUGUUUGACCACUUCUUACUACUUUGACGUGUCCUUUGACCAGACACCUGACCAUGUUAUCAGAUGAACUCCCAUCACCUUCCAUUCCCAGCUGAUAAAGGGAAGAUGCACAGCCGAUUCCCGAAUAAGUUUAGGUGUCCUUUACAUACACACAUUCUAUGUGAGCCUACUUUGUCUAAAAGCCACCUGAAUGUCUGGCAAAAACUGUGGCUGUGAUGUGCCUGUUCCUACACCUCUGAGAACUCAUACAGGCUCUGCUCACCUGGCACACACAUCAGUCAUUAACCAAGCCUUGUCCUUCUUUAGCUCACAGUCCAAAUGUUUGAAGGCUGCAGAAACAAGCGCAACCUGCUCAGCAGCAUCUGGCCCCAAUAAAAAGGUCUGAUCAAUACAGAGAAGCUUAUCCAGCACUGAUCAAUGUAGCUAAGUGGAACAGCUACUCACCUUCCUGCUGUCAUAGUUUCCCUCCGAGAUCACCCUGCCUGUGGCUGAAGCUUUUUUUUCCUGAAGCCAAUGGGUACAGUUCUCUCUCCAACUAUUUCAAUCCUGAAUCCACAGAGGGUGCUCCCAGCCAUCACUUCAUUAGAAAGCCUGCCUUUGGUUUCCUUUACUGUGCGGAUACCGCUAGUGGAUCAACACUUAAACCAAUCAAAGCCUGCUUCUACCUUCCAUCUGUCAGUGAAGACCUGGUUUUGGUAGCAGUCACAGAAUAACACAAUGGUUUGGGUUGGAAGGGACCUUUAAAGAUCACCUAGUCCACACCCCCUGCCAUCAGCAGGGACAUCAUUCACUAGACCAGGUUGCUCCAAACCCCAUCCAGCCUGGCCUUGAACACUUGAGGGAUGGGGCAUCCACAGCUUCUCUGGGCAACCUGUUCCAGUGUCUUACCACCUUCAUAAUAAAAAAUUGCUUCUUUAUAACCAAUCUAAAUCUACCUUCUUCUGGUUUAAAACCAAUGCCCCUUGUUCUGUCACUACAGACUGGUAAAAGGUCUCUGUCAUCAUUAGGAAAGGGCUAGUCUUGAUUGCAAGCUCUUGUCUACUUUACUUCCCAAUAGACUUUUGCAGAAGUUAAAAUCUAUGGCUCUGGCCUAAUACUGUAUUCAUAUUCUGUGCAGCUCAAGAAGUUACCCUGCCAGUGCUCUGUCUUAAGUCAUUGGCUUUCAGGGAUGCAGCUUUCUUGCCCAUCUUGGAUGCCAGGCAGACGUUGGCUUUUUUUGUUGUUAACUGUUUUUAUCUUGCACGGAACAGACUCUUUCAGAAACUUAAUUCCUUCAUGUCUGUACCUUGGCUAUCCCCAAGCCCUAAAGCAUUCCUGGGGCUUAUGGAUGGGGUCCUAUUCUGGCCCUAUAAGCGCUGGUGUGUAAGCUACUGCUGCUGGAGGCGGCAGGCAGUGUGACCACAUUCUGACAAGCACUUAGGUAACAACUGGUCACUGACCAGCAACUGGAGCUCACUGACAUAUUGCUCAUAACACAUCUUUCUGUCACAGCACUCUCAAAACUAGCCGGCUGCAACAAGGCUUUUACCAUCCCAUACCAGGUUAACUUCAGUAAGUGGCUCCCACACCUUGCCCCAGCGCAGCCACCAAUCCCCCACAAGGUUUCAACAGUUCAUCUACUGUUCAUGCUGUUUCUUCAUACUCUUCAGGCCGGUCCCUCUGCUUCUUGCCUCUGCAGCAUCAUUCUCGUCUCCAUCCAGGGCACUCUCUCUUCUUCCUCCGCUUCUUCCAGAUCUCUCUUCAUCCAGUGCUCCUCUUCCAUACCCCUUAGAGCUAUUCAACUACUUCACAGAACCAGCCACAGCUGCGCCUUAUCCCAUCAGCCAGCCUACCACCCCUGAAGCCAGCUCACAGCUGUAUAUUAUCAAUGUUAAUUAACCCAGUUUCAUUCCUCCACAUCAGGGGUCCUCAAACUUUUUAACCAGGGGGCUGGUGCAUGGAUGCAGUGGCAGGCAGUCAUCUGCGGCUGUUUGGUUCCCCCCCAACCCCCGGUGAGGGGGCCCGGAUUGAGGACCCUGGGAGACUGUAUCCAGCCCACGGGCCGUAGUUUGAGGACCCCUGCUUUACAUCUUUCUACUUGUUUCUCUCGGUGACCCUGGAGAUUAUGGGAGCCACUUACAAUAGCAAUGGUAGGUGGGAUGGGGGAGCAGAGGAUGCAGCUCAUCUCUUUAUUUCCAUAGCACUUGGUGCAAGCUCCAACAAAGACGGUGGAGACAGCAAAGCCCGCAAUGAAAGUACAGCCUGCCAUGUUCCUCUGGGUGCUUGCUAUGCUGAAUUCCUUAACGUCUGCAGUAUAAGGAUCACCAAAAUCCCCUAGGAAAGCUUUCCAGGAUCAUGUCUUCUCAAGAACCAAUGUUUUUAAAAGGUCACUAUGCCUUUAAAAUAUUAACUACACAUAUAUCUGCAUCUUUAAGCAUCUACACAUUCAUAAAAAAAAGCCCAAAACAGCACAGAUUUUAGUUAUGCCUAAAGAAAGCUAGAAAUUACUUUAAAUCCCACACACAGUAGCCACCACUUUUAAGGCUACAGACAGCAGCAGGUACAGCCUGCUUAAACAGUCAUCAAGUAACUGUUGGCAAUUGAGCCCAACAGUACCCAUGCACUCCUGACCAGGUGAGCAGUAUCGCUUCCUCUCACCUCGGAGACAAUUUAUGCAGUGAAAACCAGUCAUCGCUUUCCCAGAGCUUUUAUGCUUACCUCAUAGUCUGAUGCUUAACCAGAGCACUAGGUCUGCUUUGUGAGCAACAGUUCCUUGCCAGUGCAUUUAGAUUUCAGGAACACCAAAGAAAAAGUGUCCUGGAAUAUGCUCCUGCUGCCUACUCUCUUCUUCCCUCUGGGCUCUCCAGAGCAGGUAGGGAGCAGACCAUGGACUGGACGAGCAGUAGCUAGCUGCUCCUACUGGCCAGUUGUCCUAC